UAUGGCGUCUAAAGAUUUUAUUUCUUAUUACAUGCAGAACUGGCACUCCUGUAAAGAAAUGUGGGUACAUGCAUAUCGGCAGAAACUUCCUACAUUUGGUAAUAACACGAAUAAUCGCAUUGAGUGUCACAAUCAAAAAAUUAAAAGUUAUCUCACUUCAAGCAUGCAUUUGGUUCAAGCAAUAGAAGCAUUAGUAAGUUAUAUUGAGAAGGAUUUCUUAUCUCUAAAAUUUUCCAAGUUUAAGGAAAUGAAGCUGAACUUAAAUGUAAAUGAUGUCAGUGAGCCAUUUCAACUAGACUUGGCCCGUAAUUGCACUUCUGAGGCCACAAGUAAAGUACUUGAGCAGUAUGAACGGUUUAAAGAAGUAGGUUAUUUGGUUACUUCCACUGCUAAUUCUUAUGUAGUGGCUUCAGCAAGUUCUGAGCACAGUGUUUCAUUAUGCCUGACGCGUUGCAUGUGUGCUUUUUAUAAUCAGUACAGUUUGCCUUGUGCACACAUUAUAGCAGCUCGCCAUUUUGCCCAGCAAGACCUUUUUGACAAAGCAUGCAUACCAGACAGGUGGUGUAAGGAUCAUUUCCUGAGUGACAGCUGCAUGGUCUCAAGUGCCACACCAGUGGUGACAAGCAGCAUUCAGCUGCUGCCAUCUGUGAAGCUCGACACUGCUCAAGAAAAGUCCACUGAUGUACCAGCUGCAUGCAUUCACACUACCAUCAAGUCAUCAGGAGCGUCUGUACCUCUAUCUAAAUAUUACACUAUUGUCUAAGGUGGAAAAUGAGACUUGUAUAUUUUGCUGUAAUGGUUCUGCCAAUAAAAGAUUGAUUAUA